AUAUCAAUAAGCGGAGGAAAAGAAACCAACAGGGAUUGCCCAGUAACGGCGAGUGAAGCGGCAACAGCUCAAAUUUGAAAUCUGGCCCUCCGGGUCCGAGUUGUAAUUUGUAGAGGAUGCUUUUGGUGAGGUGCGCCGAGUUCCUGGAACGGGACGCCGCAGAGGGUGAGAGCCCGUCUGGCUGGCCACCGAGCCUCUGUAAAGCUCCUUCGACGAGUCGAGUAGUUUGGGAAUGCUGCUCAAAAUGGGAGGUAUAUGUCUUCUAAAGCUAAAUAUUGGCCAGAGACCGAUAGCGCACAAGUAGAGUGAUCGAAAGAUGAAAAGCACUUUGGAAAGAGAGUUAAACAGUAC
rnacentral:rRNA from 1 species